UUACGGCCACACCACACUGAAACACUGGUUUCCGUACGAUCACCGAAAUUAAGCAACGCCGAGCCUGAGCACUACCUGGAUGGGUGACCACUUGGGAAGUCCAGGUACCGUAA